rnacentral:rRNA from 1 species
UACGGAGGGUGCAAGCGUUAUCCGGAUUCACUGGGUUUACAGGGUGCGUAGGCGGGUAAGUAAGUCCGUGGUGAAAUCUCUGAGCUUAACUCAGAAACUGCCGUGGAUACUAUUUGCCUUGAAUAUUGUGGAGGUGAGCGGAAUAUGUCAUGUAGCGGUGAAAUGCUUAGAUAUGACAUAGAACACCAAUUGCGAAGGCAGCUCACUACACAAUCAUUGACGCUGAGGCACGAAAGCGUGGGGAUCAAACAGG